AAAGUCGUAACAAGGUUUCCGUAGGUGAACCUGCGGAAGGAUCAUUAUUAUUUGGAUCGAAAUUUACUUCUAGUAUUGGUCACGACUAUUUUGGAGUAAAUUUCUUACCAAAUAGUUCUAACAUUUACUUCCUAUAUUUAAUAUAUAGGAGCAAGAUGAACAAAAUAUUUAAAACCCCCCCACUCUUAAAUAUCUAUACGUAUUUUAAAUCGAUAAAUUAAAGAUCACUUUCAACAACGGAUCUCUUGGUUCUC
rnacentral:misc_RNA from 1 species